AUGCAUCUAUUGAUAGACCACAAGCCUCCUACUGUUACUUGUUGGUUUGCACUGAGAUGCUAGAGAAACUUUUCCUUGCGCUUUCUGUCUGUCAGACUGUGACUUAACAGAUUGAAUAAAGGAAAACAACA